GGAGAACAAAAGAGAGAGUACUCAAGUAUUUGACACAGCUUUGUGAAAGCACACCGAGUCCGAUGGGUGAAUCGGUGGUUGACUGCAAUAACAUCGCAAACAUGCCAAGCUUGACUUUCACCAUCGGGGAGAAACCUUUCACGCUCUCCCUGAGCAGGCUAAAGUUUGGAAAAUGGCAAAUUCCACUUAUUUUCAGUUGUCUAUAUUCUGAUACAGUGGGAUGAACUAUCUCAGCAUGACGGAGAAUUUGAUAAAAUUCCUGUUUUUGUCACCGUUCCUCAUUUUCAGCAUGUUUUGGAAACUGGGGAUGGAAUUACUACGAUCUGCAUCAGCAGCUUCGUGGCUUUGGAUGUGCCGCCUCCUAGAGGUCCUCUUUGGAUUCUCGGCGCCAUAUUCAUGGGGGUCUACCACACAGUGUUUGAUUCUGGCAAUCUCCAGCUGGGUUUUGCUGGAGGUGCUUAACAAGC